AUACUUGUCCAUAGGGUCUUGCCACUCGAAAUGUGUCCGAGCUUGUCUCAUCUUGGAAGCUAAGCAGGAUCGGACCUACUUUGUAUCUUGGAUGGGAGACUGCCUGGGAAUACAAAAGCCUACAAGUGGU
ensembl:rRNA 5S_rRNA 5S ribosomal RNA